UUCUAUUCAAAUAAAUGUAUUAAGUCAUUUUUUUUUAUAAAUAAUAAACUACUAUCAUUUUUACGACUAAUUCAUGUUGUUGUAUUUGAGAGCUACAAUUUAACAACUCAAUUAGGACUAAUAUCAUGAGCAAGAGCUACAAUUUAGCAAUUCAAUUAGGACUAAUAUCAUGAUAUUGACUAAUAAUCUAAUAUCAUGAUAUAUAAAUCGUGAUAGAAAUGUUUCAUGAGAG
rnacentral:lncRNA from 1 species